GGGUGGUCAGGCUCGCUGACUUGGUUGACACAUGUCAUCAUAUCCCAAUUGCACAGAUCGAUGCUCAUGCUUUUUAUUACUGGAUUAUCUGGUCCAGACU